rnacentral:rRNA from 1 species
CCUACGGGGAGCAGCAGUGAGGAAUAUUGGUCAAUGGACGAAAGUCUGAACCAGCCAUGCCGCGUGCAGGAGGACGGCUCUAUGAGUUGUAACCUGCUUUUGUACGAGGGUAAACGCAGAUACGCGUAUCUGUCUGAAAGUACCGUACGAAUAAGGAUGGGCUAACUCCGUGCAAGCAGCCGCGGUAAUCCGUAGGAUUAAAGCGUUAUCCGGAUUUAUUGGGUUUAAAGGGUGCGUAGGCGGUCGGAUAAGUUAGAGGUGAAAUCCCGAGGCUCAACUUCGGAAUUGCCUCUGAUACUGUUCGGCUAGAGAGUAGUUGCGGUAGGCGGAAUGUAUGGUGUAGCGGUGAAAUGCUUAGAGAUCAUACAGAACACCGAUUGCGAAGGCAGCUUACCAAGCUACUUCUGACGUUGAGGCACGAAAGCGUGGGGAGCAAACAGGAUUAGAUACCCCAGUAGUC